UAGGGAAUCUUCGGCAAUGGACGGAAGUCUGACCGAGCAACGCCGCGUGAGUGAAGAAGGUUUUCGGAUCGUAAAGCUCUGUUGUAAGAGAAGAACGAGUGUGAGAGUGGAAAGUUCACGCUGUGACGGUAUCUUACCAGAAAGGGACGGCUAACUACGUGCCAGCAGCCGCGGUAAUACGUAGGUCCCGAGCGUUGUCCGGAUUUAUUGGGCGUAAAGCGAGCGCAGGCGGUUAGAUAAGUCUGAAGUUAAAGGCUGUGGCUUAACCAUAGUACGCUUUGGAAACUGUUUAACUUGAGUGCAAGAGGGGAGAGUGGAAUUCCAUGUGUAGCGGUGAAAUGCGUAGAUAUAUGGAGGAACACCGGUGGCGAAAGCGGCUCUCUGGCUUGUAACUGACGCUGAGGCUCGAAAGCGUGGGGAGCAAACAGGAUUAGAUACCCUGGUAGUCCACGCCGUANCGAUGGGUGCUAGGUGUUAGACCCUUUCCGGGGUUUAGUGCCGCAGCUAACGCAUUAAGCACUCCGCCUGGGGAGUACGACCGCAAGGUUG
rnacentral:rRNA from 1 species